AUAUAUUUGCAAACGCUAUCCAAAACUUGACUAAGAAAAGCCGAAUGCUUUAGUUUCCGGAUUUGGUACCACAAUCCCAAAGAUUGUCUUAAAUGGAUUGUAUAUGUACCUAAGUAGUCUAAUCCUCUCAAUCUUCCUAUUGAUAAUGUAUCAUUGGAAGAACAUGUUAGAUAAGUCUAUCAUAAAGAGGACAACACUUUUAAUGUCAUAGUUCUUCACUUACAAAUCGUUGUAUGAAGAAAUAAGAGUUGCUUUGAACAACCCUUAGCUAAUGCAAACCCUAGUGCUUGUUUCUUUGUUAAAUGAACAAGGAACUUGAGAAGAAAGCACAAGGGCAUGGACACUUUAUGUGCCAUGAUUCUUCACUUACAAA
rnacentral:lncRNA from 1 species